AAAUCGAGUUCAUUGAACUCAUUUUCAUUGGACUCGGGAGAUCGGAAGAUGGAAAACUAGUGCCAUGGUUUGGCUGCGUCUGUAGAAGAUGGACUGGGUUUGCUGCGUCUGCAGAAGAUGGACUGGGUUUGCUUGAUCAGAUAACGAAGUCUAGUGCCAUCUAAUGUUUGGCUGCGUCUGCAGAAGAUGGACCUUAUCAGAUUGUCUUCUUAUCAGAUCGUGCUCAGAGAGCUUGUUGUUGGCAAAUCAAUUUCUUGUGGUUAGUUUUUUAAAAAAUCCCAGAACACUUUCCUAAGUUGCAGUGAAGCAUGGGAUUCAACAACUGAAAUUGAUACCAUCAGAAUCAGCUCUAGGAAGAGAAUCAGAAAAGAGAUUGGGAAGUUUGGUAGAAAUAUAAAACAGAGACUUUGUUGUGCUUUGUUUGAUGAAGAGGUUCUUCGGGUGCAAGCUGUAGCAACUCCAGAAAUAUCCUUAGAAAAUUGCACCCCGGGCUUUCAUGCUGAAUCAGUUUCAGGGCUCUAGGAAGCUGGCCUUCAAUAGCUUCCCAAGCAGCCAUGAGGAUCCUCAACUGGAAUUAUAGGGGGCUGGGCAACCCCCCUAUAGUUCUACAAUGCCAAAAAAAGACCUAGGAGCACAAGUCAGACAUAAUAUUUCUAAUGGAGACAAAGUUGGUUCAGAAAAAAGGCAGAGAUAUUUUGGAAAAAUGUGGGUUUAGUAAUGGUUGGGAAUUUCCAAGGGAAGGUCUGAGUGGUGGUAUACUUCUUGGCUGGUACCAAAAUGUGAAGCUCAACAUCCAAUAUGGCUCCAAGCACUUAAUCCAUGUUGAUCUCUUUGACCACAAAGGUAUCAAACAGCUUUCAGUCAAAGGCAAAACACCAGACCAAGUGAGAAGCAGACCUUGCAAAGAAUUCCUCACCAAAACUGGCAGAUUCUCAUCAAAGUGGCAGCUAGCAGAAAUAGGAAAACUAAGAGAUUUGGCUUUGCUUUUGAAGCUACUUCUAUGGCAGGGGUCACUAUCUUCAGAGGUGCAGCAAACAAUGGUAAACAAUCAAUAUAUAUGGUGACUCAGGAGGCAAUGGUGGAAGCAAUUUUCAAAGCCAAAAGAUCAUGGUUUUAGCAAAAUACUUUUUGUGCAACCAUAAAAAGCUAGUCCAAAUCUGCAACCUGUACAGCAAACCCUCAUGGCAAGAUCAAGCUCUCCUUGCUGACCUUUGGCAAUUGAAGCAACAAAGCUUGUGUAUAUUGGUCCUUUUUGUUCCUAAACUAGUCAUGACGAAUGUACUUCACAUAGCCUCUGUAGCUGCUAAUUGUCUUGGUCUUUUUGUAUCCUAAACUAGUCUGCUAAAGCUUAAAACUUUGUUUUCUCCUUAGUUUAUUUAAUGUUAUGCAGCUGGUAUAAAAAAAAAAAGUAUGUAGAAAACAUUCUCAUAAAAAAAAAAAAAUUGAAAACAUUAUAUGAUUUUAUUAUUUUUU